CACAAAUUAUAAUCAUACAUAUUUAUUCAGUAAUUAACAAAAGCAUUUAAACUUGUCCUUAAGUCUACAGUAAGGCAAGGCAGACCAGCCCCUUGCUACCCCUCUGAGCGCAAGGCAGCAAGGUUGGAAUGGAGAUAUAUAUUAAUUAUUUCCUAUAUAAUUUCCCUCCCCAGCAGAGUACCGAGGGUGACUUAACUAUAUUUAAAGCACUGAUUAUAUACCUUUGCACAGCGUAAACCGAGGCUCAUUAACUAUAUUUAAAGCACUGAUUAUAUACCUUUGCACAGAGUAAUUAUAAUAAGUGAUAAUGGAGAGUGAUGAUAUCCUAAGGUGUAUUUAUAUUAGUUAUUGUGUUGAUGAGGGAGGACACACAGCUGAGUUUUGGUGUGUGUUGACGAGGUUUGCUUACUGUAAGGAAACACAGCUCUCAACACACUCACGGCAACACACUCACUGCAUCCAACACCCUUGUUAUUAUUAUUGUUAUUUGCUGUUAUUCUUUGGUUAAUCAUAUAUAUGUAAAUUAUUAACUUUCUCAUACUAAGAUAGACUCUGGUUGGUAUAAGAAGACACUUUCACUCCUCAAUUCACCCAUUUCUAAAGGUCAAAGAUGGGGUCAGUCGGGUUCUAAUGUGUGUUUCUUUAGGUUCGUGGUACAGAGGAAGGGUCACACUACCACCAGGGUCAUAAAACUACCCCUGGAAAUGCCCACAACUCCUGCAAAAGCCUUGUCAAAUAGGUGUUUCUUCAGGGUCAUGGUACAGAGGAAGGGUCACACUACCACCAGGGUCAUAAAACUACCCCUGGAAAUGCCCACAACUCCUAUGAAAGCCUUGUCAAAUAGGUGUUUCUUCAGGGUCAUGGUACAGAGGAAGGGUCACACUACCACCAGGGUCAUAAAACUACCCCUGGAAAUGCCCACAACUCCUAUGAAAGCCUUGUCAAAUAGGUGUUUCUUCAGGGUCAUGGUACAGAGAAAGGGUCACACUACCCCUGGAAAUGCCCACAACUCCUAUGAAAGCCUUGUCAAAUAGGUGUUUCUUCAGGGUCACACUACCACCAGGGUCAUAAAACUACCCCUGGAAAUGCCCACAACUCCUAUGAAAGCCUUGUCAAAUACGUGUUCUUGAGUGGCGAAGUGUCUUUUAAUACAACCCAGAGAUAUACUGCUUUGUCUUUCCAUUAUGUACGCGUAAUUAACUAAGUUUGUUAUGUACGGAAAAAGUUCAUUACACACCCAAAGCUUUGGUCUACAGGAAACAAUGUGUGUGGAGGAAGAGGAGGAGGAAGAAGAAGGAGGAGGAGGAGGAGGAAGGAAGGAAGAUUAGAGAGAGAGAGAGAGAGAGACCCAAUGACCUAACUUAACCUAACCUAAUCUAAUCACUCUUAACAUAAUCUAAUCCCCCUUAAAAUAAUCUAAUCUAAUCCCCUUUCCAAUCCCCCUUCUAAUCCCCCUUGAACCUAAUCUAAUACAUCAUCACUCUUGUUCCCCAAUGAGUUUGUUAGGCCAGGGUUUGCUGAACACAUCAAUAACAUAAACACAGACACACUAUCGACCUGUAACACCACCUAGGUUUACCCGAACUCCCUCAUCCAGGUCACUGUACACAUCAAUAACACAAACACAGACACACUAUCGACCUGUAACACCACCUAGGUUUACCCGAACUCCCUCAUCCAGGUCACUGUACACAUCAAUAACACAAACACAGACACACUAUCGACCUGUAACACCACCUAGGUUGACCCGAACUCCCUCAUCCAGGUCACUGUACACAUCAAUAACACACACAGACACACUAUCGACCUGUAACACCACUUAGGUUGACCCGAACUCCCUCAUCCAGGUCUCGUACUUAUCCAGGUCGUGUUGGCUCACAGACUUGUUGCACUUUGCCACGGCUGCCAUGAAGUCCUCCUGGGUCACCGGCAGGUCCAGCUCCUCCUUGGGCAGCG